rnacentral:rRNA from 1 species
CUACGGGGGGCAGCAGUGGGGAAUAUUGCACAAUGGGCGCAAGCCUGAUGCAGCCAUGCCGCGUGUGUGAAGAAGGCCUUCGGGUUGUAAAGCACUUUCAGCGGGGAGGAAGGCGUUAAGGUUAAUAACCUUGGCGAUUGACGUUACCCGCAGAAGAAGCACCGGCUAACUCCGUGCCAGCAGCCGCGGUAAUACGGAGGGUGCAAGCGUUAAUCGGAAUUACUGGGCGUAAAGCGCACGCAGGCGGUCUGUCAAGUCGGAUGUGAAAUCCCCGGGCUCAACCUGGGAACUGCAUUCGAAACUGGCAGGCCAGAGUCUUGUAGAGGGGGGUAGAAUUCCUGGUGUAGCGGUGAAAUGCGUAGAGAUCUGGAGGAAUACCGGUGGCGAAGGCGGCCCCCUGGACAAGGACUGACGCUCAGGUGCGAAAGCGUGGGGAGCAAACAGGAUUAGAUACCCGAGGAGUC